CAUCCUAAGUGCAGGACUUUGCACUUGUCCUUAUUGAACCUCAUGAAAUUUCUUUUGGUCCAAUCUUUCAAUUUGUCUAGGUCACUGAAUCCAAGCCCUGCCCUCCAGUGUAUUUACUACUCCCCCAGCUUGGUGUCAACUGCAAACUUGCUGAGGGUGCACUCUAUCCUAUCCUUCAGGUCACUGAUGAAGAUAUGGAACAAAGAGGCACUUCUAGAAGGCUUCUUUUGGAACACUAAAGAAGAAGAGCAAUUACUCGAGUUAUCCUGUGAUGGGGAACUGAAACUUGAAUUCAAGCAGGAAUGCCUUGCCUGAUUCUGGUUGAAAAUAAAAAAGGAGUAACCUGAUCUGACAGAUAAAGCCAUUAAAGUCUUGAUGCCAUUCACCACCACAUACUUUCGUAUCAAUAAAAACGAAAUACCGAAACAAACUGGAUGUUGAAGGAGAUCUGAUUGAAACUGUGACUUAUGCUACCAAACUUUCAUGUGCUUUCUGUCCGGAAGCAAGCUCAACCAUCUCAUCAGAACUGGCUACAGAAUGGAGUCUCCAGUCAUCUCAGUAUCCAAGUGAGAGGAGCCUACAUCCACCUCCCCAAGAACCUGUUCUACAGGAAACCUGGCUCCAAGGUCACCUGGGACCCUUAAUACAUGCCUAUGCCUACUUUAUUGCCAGCACCCAAAAUGGAGGCAGCAGUAGCAGAGGAAUUACCCUUACCGUAUUACAGUUUUGUGGUACAUCUGUUGUUAGAGCUGCCUUCUUCCAUGCUGCAUUGGAGGGUAGAUGUUUGUAAUGGGUUGGGUGAGUCCGCCCAAGCCUUUCCCUGCCUCUCAACCACUGGAUGCUGCUUUACUGCUGCUACUUGCCACCACCAAGGGGUACUGCUCCACUGUCCACUAGGCCUGUGCGAAGCAACUAGUAUUCACUUCAGAUUCAGAUUCGGCCUAUUUGGGGGACAGUAAUUCAAUUCAGUGAUUUGAAUCACUGUCCCGAUUUGAUUCAGCUGAAUCUGAUUCAGAGAUUUGGCUGCUGCCAAAUCUGUGAAUCAGCCAGGCCAGGCCCAUCCCCUGCCCCUCUCCCAGCUCAGCAAUGAUCCCCACUGCCCCUCACUGCCCCAUGCUGCAUGGGGGGCUUUGCACGAGCCUCCCCUUGCUCCCCCUGCCCAACCAUGGGUGCCCUGCAUGGGCCACUUCUGGCCCUUUAAGGAAAAAAAAAAUGACCCCCCCCUUCACUGCUCCUCCCAGUGGGAGCAAUCCCCACUGCCCCAUGCCAUGUGACGGGCCCUGUAUGAGCCCCUGAAACCCCGAGGCGGCUGCAGGAGCUGGAGUCCCAGGGCUUUUCUCAGCUUUUUUUUUUCCUUAAAGGGCCAGAGCUCACCUGGGUGGGGCACCCAUGGAGAGGCUGGGGAAGUGGGAGGGGAGGGGACUAGUGCAGAGCCCCCCAUGCAGUGUGGGGCAGUGUGGGGGCAGCAGGGAUUGCCCUCCCCACCCAGCAGCACCCGGUGAGCACUGGGUCUUUUUUUUAAAGUACUGGGAGCUGGGGUGGGUGAAGGUAGCCUUGGGGGGCCUGGGGGAGUGGGCAGUGGGGCAGGAGGGCUGGCAAGGGUCCCCCCAUGGUCCUCUCCCCCCUGCCCCAGCCCCCCUCCCCUGCCUCUAGUACUUACGAGGUCGGAGUUGGCUGCAGCCACUGGGGACUGCCUGAAUAAUCAAAGUCGUCCAAAUCUUUUCUGAUGUUUCGGAGAGCUUUGAAUCGAUUCAGACCUUUAGAUUGGUCCCCUGAUUCAAUUCAGAUUCAGAGAUUCAGCCACCAAAUCAGGCUGAAUCUCCUCUGAAUCGAAUCGCCAUCCAAAGUUUCGCACAACCCUACUGUCCACUUCUGGAUGCAGAAACAAGCCAGAACUUGUAAACCUUGAGCAAACUGAAGGAUUUCAGCUCUUCAGACUCUAGCAGGCAAAACAUUCAACCUGAUCUGGUCUUUUUUAUUUUUACUAAAAAAAAAAAUUCAAAUCACAUACUUAUAAGAAUGACAAGGUAAAACCACAAAAACCUUAUACACAACAACCGAACACUAAGAACAGACAAGUACAAGUCUACCCUGCCUUCUAUAUGAUCUAUUGCCACUGGUUUUUUGUGGAUAUUCAUCCAAACUUGCUUUGAUAAUUCAACAGACUCGUCAUGUUCCAGUGUCAUUAGUUCCCCUGCCCUCACCACCCCAUCCCUGGUGCUAGGCUAGCUGGGCUGCGUCUCCACCCCUGGAGCUAGAUAGUAGGGGAUGGGAAAGCAGCCCAGCUGGGCUGCCUUCCCACCCCAUGCCAGAUCUUGUGCCAGUAAUGGGAAGUCAGCCAAGCUGGACUGACUUCCCAUCCCCAGCACUAUGGUCAAAAUGUUUCGACUCUUGAAAUGUUUCGACUAGCCUCAUUUUGUUUUGAGGCUAUUUCGAUGGCCUUUGUUUCGUUUUGAUUUUGCUGUUUUGACCUCGAAAUGAGUCAAAACAGUGUCUAAAUGAAACAGCCGUUGAAAUUUCGCACAGCCCUACUGCCCAAUACUGUCACCCCCAUUCCUUCUAUCUCUCCUAUGUGUCCCACCAACAGGCACACACUUUAAAUAAGCACCUGCUGCCUCCUCAUAUUACUCCACGUUCUUCAAUAACCACUGUAGUGAUACCUUACUCUACACUACCACAUUUAUGUCAAGACUACCAGAAUUAUAUUAUCCAUAUAUGUCAUGCAUUUCACUUCUUUCCCACCUCCCCCGGUACAUAUAUGUGGCAUGGUGAGGGGCACAAAGGGAAGGGAAGCCUCUGCUCCCCACUCCCUCUCCCUGCUGUUUCCCGUGGCAUGAAGACAGGCAGCCAGCAGGAAGCAAGCGGCACAGCCUGGGACUUAGAAGCAUGGGGAAGCCCAGUGGUGGCGGCAAGCCCCAGGAGAGCCCUGGGAAGCAGCACAGCCAGGGCGAGACUCGCCUGUGAUGUUGGAUGGCCAACAGCUGGAAGAUGAGUAUGCUGAUUGUCAGCCUAGGGGGAUCUGCAUGGGAAUAAAGACAGGCUGUAACUUAUCAGAAGUGGGCAAAGAUGAUACAGAAGCCCCAGACGCUGCAGACUGGAAGAGGGGGUGAAAAGAGCAUGUGGCUCCUGGAUUGUCUGUUUUUAUUUCCUUCGCCUUGCGGAACUUGUAUCAAUUGUCCACAUGGAGGCUGUGGCAGGAAAGGAGGAACUGCCACCUGGCAUUGCUCUGCUACAGGGCCACAGAGAGCUGUUUGAACAUUUAUAAUGGCAGUGGACAAAACAGUGUUUUUCUUUGAAUGAAAUGAUGCUGAGUUUGGGGCCAACCCAUUUUAAGGUCUCAGAUGCAGAGUGAACUUGGACUAUAAAUCUAGCCCUUCCCCUUAAAUGGGAUGGUGCAAGGACUAACUACUGAACUGUUGAAAGGGAACAAGCAACCCCAUUGAUUGUAAUAUAUUGAAAGGUGAAUUGCCUCCAUCUGUAUCAAUAACAUUUAACAGCAAGUUGUGGUAGGUGAGAAACCAGAGGUGGGGAUCACUUACCAGAGGGUUAGGAGGAACAAUGAACUUGCACCAACUCCUGACCCAUCUGCAAUGCACCUCAUUGAUGGUGAUCACCAUGUCAUUACUCAGUCAUUGCACCAAUGACUCCAAUGUACAAAAAGUGCCAUAAGCACCCUUGACACACUCUCAAGCAAAAGAAAGGCUGGCUCAGAUAGUCGUUGAUGGGGAUACUUACUUACUGCUACCAUGUAUGUUUCUUGGAUCAAUGUGACCCUUCAAGGAUUUCUGAUUCUUCAGAAACAGAUCCCCAGCUUCUUCUGUGACUCUUGAGAUGGGGGUCCCCCCACCAUAAACCUUCACACGUCAUAAUGAGUGCUGACCUUUCAACAAGCUUUACCCAAUUUUCUCUUACAGCAUUAGUACCUAGAGGCCCCAUUUACAUGUUACACUUACGACACAAUUAACGCAUUAAUUACAUCUUAAGCUGUGACUCAGCCACGUAUUCAGUCAAUGGAUGGAAUGAUAAAACAAAAAAUGAGCCACAAAGUUAUUCCACAAAAAAACAUGUAUAUGGCAGAUCCUGUCAUGCCUUUACCUGAACAUCCAGAAGGGCUCUUAUAAACUUUCCAGUUUUAGAAGAGAGCACCAGUGAACACAAAACCUUACUCACCUGGCCCCUUAUAUUAAGGUUGUUAAAAAGCAGUUAAAGCAUGGUAGCACAGUGAAACCAAGCACAAAGGGCAUUUAAACACUUGCUUUGGGAGGUGGUGCAGGAAAGGGGCACUUUAAUUAGAACAGCUCUGAGAACCACUCUAAUUAAAGUGCCCCGAGUGUUGCAGGUAUCAGCGUCCCUGCACUGAAAAAUGGUGGCGAGGUGUCCAAAGAGUUCUCACUCCCAUUGACCAUGCACACUGAUGGAGAUAUGCAGAUAAGGGACAUGGUUCCCAACAAACUGACUCUGCAUACUAAUAAUGGUAUCCAGAUAAGGACCACAGGGGUUGUCACAUUAAUGCAGAUAUAUCAACAGGGUUAUAUACAUACCAAAAAUGUCACGGUAACAGUGGGUGCGUCUACAUGAGAUGCUAACUGUGCAGUAGCUUAAUAACACUAUGCGGUAGCAUGCCAGGCAAAAACCAUGCUAAUACACUCUUGCACACUAGUAUUAAGCUACUGCGCAGUAAGCAUCAUUAAAUAGCCAUGUGCUGGUGCUACUGAGCAGUAGCAUCAUUACUCUGCAUUGAUUUAGUACUUGUUUAACCAAGCGCUAAACUUAAUACGCAGUAACUAUGACGCAUGAAUGAACGUGUAGACAGGCCCAGAGUGUUAUUAAGUUUGCAAAGCCAAGCACUCAGAAGCUAGGAAAUGCCAGUAUAAGAUUGAUCACGCAAUCUAAUUAUGUUAAUUCCUAGUCAGACUACAACUCCUGGCUUCCAGCUCAGGGAACUUUCUUCAAGGCAAAAGAGUAUUUGGAUAGGUAUAUACAGACAAUUCUCUUCUUUUUUGUCUAUGUAUAAAUAGUCUGGAGGGUUUCUCUACUCUAUGUAGCUGCGUCAGAAUUGUCAGAGGUUCUCUGAGAGCAGGAAACAUGGACAAUGCAAAUUAAAUGGUCACACAAUUUUGAAGCAAGUUCUAAUCGGUUGUCCUGAGCACUUGGAAAUGUCUGUCAGCUUUCUGUGGAUUCUAGUACAGCCAAACUGGAUGGAUUCAAAGACAUCAUAAGGCACUCCCUGGCCCACAGGCAAAUCUCAAGAUUCAGUUUCAAACCCUCCAGAGGCCACAACUGUUCAAAACAAUGUUCAGAAAAGCGUGAAAAUAUUGGCAAAAUGACCUAGUUCCCCCUGAUCUCAUUGUAAAAACAUCUGAAUGGCUUGUGCUGAAACUUUCUGAAAAAAUGUAACCUGGAGCAGAAUGUAAACACGGAAAAUAUCAGCUCAGACUUGCUGACAAUGCUCCUCCCUUCCUGCAAUCUGACCCCAGUCCGAGAUAGUUCACCCUCAUUCAACAGUUUGACUCAUAUCUGGACACAGCAACAACUGAACUAAGGCUGCAUUUCUUUGAAUUUCUAGAGACUGGCAGACAUUUCAUUUGACUCUUGGGCUUUAAAAUGAGCACACAGAUUUAAGAUUCUUGUCCCUUGGUUGCUGAAUGAAAAGAGGUAAAAACAAUCUCCCAAACCAUUUCCUUAUGCAUAAUCUGAGAGAGAUUCAGAUUGUGCACAAAUAGCUGUCACUGUUACUGUUGUGUUAUGUCCCGUCCUCCAGGCACUCUCCUCUCCUCGUUCUUAUUCAUGUUCAUUCUGCACAAAAUCAACUUAUGUGAAACUCCCAUUGACUUCAACUGGGUCAUGAUUUCAAGGCUCAUGUGUAAAUAUAAGAAUAUAGGACUGAAAGGAGCGUCCUGCACCAUGCAAUCUAGCCCCCUGCAUUUUCAUGCAAUUGUUAACCAAAAACUGCUACUUCAAACCCUCACUCACAGCUACAAGGCACAAUACCCAGAGCACCCUACAACUUGCUAUAGGGAAAAGCAGGGAAAAUGAGGGCAUUGCCAGUGCCCUGCCACUGCAACA